rnacentral:rRNA from 1 species
AUUGAACGCUGGCGGCAUGCCUUACACAUGCAAGUCGAACGGCAGCGGGGGAGAAGCUUGCUUUUCCUGCCGGCGAGUGGCGAACGGGUGAGUAAUACAUCGGAACGUGCCCUGUAGUGGGGGAUAACUAGUCGAAAGAUUAGCUAAUACCGCAUACGACCUGAGGGUGAAAGUGGGGGACCGUAAGGCCUCAUGCUAUAUGAGCGGCCGAUGUCUGAUUAGCUAGGUGGUGGGGUAAAGGCCUACCAAGGCGACGAUCAGAAGCUGGUCUGAGAGGACGAUCAGCCACACUGGGACUGAGACACGGCCCAGACUCCUACGGGAGGCAGCAGUGGGGAAUUUUGGACAAUGGGCGAAAGCCUGAUCCAGCAAUGCCGCGUGUGUGAAGAAGGCCUUCGGGUUGUAAAGCACUUUUGUCCAGAAAGAAAUGGCUCUGGUUAAUACCUGGGGUCGAUGACGGUACCGGAAGAAUAAGGACCGGCUAACUACGUGCCAGCAGCCGCCGCAG